CUCCCGGACUACGAGAACCUUGGAAGUACUUUUGGGCAUUAAGUUACUUCAGGAACUCCUAUCUAAACCAUCAGCUUCUUACUGGCUUACAAAAGUAAAAAAGGUUUUGUUAUCUGAAACAAAUGCACAUUUUUACUGUUGAUUUAAAAAUAUUUUUAGCUCAUGAACAUACCCAAAGCAUGAAGUGUCAAAUGUGAAUCUUUGUUAUUUUAUGAUUUCACGUAUGUGAAUUGGAUAGAUCAGCAUGCAAUUCUAUAGAUGAACAAGGUUUCAGAUCUACCUCCAAAACUCCAGCUGCUCCUUUUGCUAUUCUCACUUCCCUUGCUGAUCUUGCCUGGACACCUCAGGACAGGCCAAGGACAAGCUGCUGUCUGAGAGACCUGCAUUAUAAAGGUCACACAUCUGCACACAGCUGGAGCAGCAGUGAGAGACCAACCCUGCCAUACACUUACUCAGAAGUGGAUGGUCAUCCUGGGUACAGCUGUAUUUUCUAGAGAGGUGUUUGGAAACUCCUUUGAGGUACCUUUAAUCAGGAGGUUCUGCCUUGCAUCAUUACAAUCCAGUCCUUACUUUGUGCACCUCUACAUGGAAGACAACAGAAUAAGUCACAGGAAGAAGUUAUGCUGAGUGGAGCCUUCACCAGCAUGGGCAAGUCACUAGCCUUCUGCCAAGCUGAUGCAGGUCACCUGUUGUGAGCUGGAUGUGCUGUU